rnacentral:rRNA from 1 species
GAUGAACGCUGGCGGCGUGCCUAAUACAUGCAAGUCGAGCGAACGGACGAGAAGCUUGCUUCUCUGAUGUUAGCGGCGGACGGGUGAGUAACACGUGGAUAACCUACCUAUAAGACUGGGAUAACUUCGGGAAACCGGAGCUAAUACCGGAUAAUAUUUUGAACCGCAUGGUUCAAAAGUGAAAGACGGUCUUGCUGUCACUUAUAGAUGGAUCCGCGCUGCAUUAGCUAGUUGGUAAGGUAACGGCUUACCAAGGCAACGAUGCAUAGCCGACCUGAGAGGGUGAUCGGCCACACUGGAACUGAGACACGGUCCAGACUCCUACGGGAGGCAGCAGUAGGGAAUCUUCCGCAAUGGGCGAAAGCCUGACGGAGCAACGCCGCGUGAGUGAUGAAGGUCUUCGGAUCGUAAAACUCUGUUAUUAGGGAAGAACAUAUGUGUAAGUAACUGUGCACAUCUUGACGGUACCUAAUCAGAAAGCCACGGCUAACUACGUGCCAGCAGCCGCGGUAAUACGUAGGUGGCAAGCGUUAUCCGGAAUUAUUGGGCGUAAAGCGCGCGUAGGCGGUUUUUUAAGUCUGAUGUGAAAGCCCACGGCUCAACCGUGGAGGGUCAUUGGAAACUGGAAAACUUGAGUGCAGAAGAGGAAAGUGGAAUUCCAUGUGUAGCGGUGAAAUGCGCAGAGAUAUGGAGGAACACCAGUGGCGAAGGCGACUUUCUGGUCAGUAACUGACGCUGAUGUGCGAAAGCGUGGGGAUCAAACAGGAUUAGAUACCCUGGUAGUCCACGCCGUAAACGAUGAGUGCUAAGUGUUAGGGGGUUUCCGCCCCUUAGUGCUGCAGCUAACGCAUUAAGCACUCCGCCUGGGGAGUACGACCGCAAGGUUGAAACUCAAAGGAAUUGACGGGGACCCGCACAAGCGGUGGAGCAUGUGGUUUAAUUCGAAGCAACGCGAAGAACCUUACCAAAUCUUGACAUCCUUUGACAACUCUAGAGAUAGAGCUUUCCCCUUCGGGGGACAAAGUGACAGGUGGUGCAUGGUUGUCGUCAGCUCGUGUCGUGAGAUGUUGGGUUAAGUCCCGCAACGAGCGCAACCCUUAAGCUUAGUUGCCAUCAUUAAGUUGGGCACUCUAAGUUGACUGCCGGUGACAAACCGGAGGAAGGUGGGGAUGACGUCAAAUCAUCAUGCCCCUUAUGAUUUGGGCUACACACGUGCUACAAUGGACAAUACAAAGGGCAGCGAAACCGCGAGGUCAAGCAAAUCCCAUAAAGUUGUUCUCAGUUCGGAUUGUAGUCUGCAACUCGACUACAUGAAGCUGGAAUCGCUAGUAAUCGUAGAUCAGCAUGCUACGGUGGAUACGUUCCCGGGUCU